CCAAUAGCGUAUAUUAAAGUUGUUGCAGUUAAAAAGCUCGUAGCUGAAAUUAAGGAGAAUUGAUUAUCUUGUUUUAAAUGACUGGAUAAAAUGUGUUCUCCAAAGAGUUAAGUGGUAUGCAGCGCAUAACCACAAAGACGCCUUACUUUGAGUAAACUAGAGUGUUCCAAGCAGGCUAUCGCCUUGAAUACUGCAGCAUGGAAUAAUGAUAUGACAAUACCAAUAGUGUUUGGUUGACGUGAUAUUGUAAUGAUUGAUAGGAACAGGUGGGGGUAUUCGUAUUCAACAGUCAGAGGUGAAAUUCUUAGAUUUGUUGAAGACGAACUAAUGCGAAAGCAUUUACCAAGAAUGUUUCCAUUAG
rnacentral:rRNA from 1 species